AACGUCGGUGUACAGUGAAUCACUUGGCUCGCAAAUCGAGGAAGAACGUUGCCAUAUGUGAUAAAUUCUGUGAACUGCAGGACACACGGAACAGAUAGUUUUUGAACGCAAAUGACAGCUGUGAGGUCAAACUCAUAGCUACAUCCGUUUGAGGUCGAU
rnacentral:rRNA from 1 species